UACGGAGGGUGCAAGCGUUAUCCGGAUUCACUGGGUUUAAAGGGUGCGUAGGUGGGCAGGUAAGUCAGUGGUGAAAUCUCCGGGCUUAACCCGGAAACUGCCGUUGAUACUAUUUGUCUUGAAUAUAGUGGAGGUGAGCGGAAUAUGUCAUGUAGCGGUGAAAUGCUUAGAUAUGACAUAGAACGUCGAUUGCGAAGGCAGCUCGCUACACUAUUAUUGACACUGAGGCACGAAAGCGUGGGGAUCAAACAGG
rnacentral:rRNA from 1 species